UACGGAGGGUGCAAGCGUUGUCCGGAAUCACUGGGCGUAAAGGGCGCGUAGGCGGCUCAUGAAGGCUGUGGUGAAAGUCCGGGGCUCAACCUCGGAUCGGCCGUGGCGACUCGUGGGCUGGAGCACUGUAGAGGCGGGGGGAAUUCCGGGUGUAGCGGUGGAAUGCGUAGAGAUCCGGAAGAACACCGGUGGCGAAGGCGGCCCGCUGGGCAGAGACUGACGCUGAGGCGCGACAGCGUGGGGAGCAAACAGG
rnacentral:rRNA from 1 species